CGGGGGAGGCGCGGCGGGAGUGAGGCUGCGGCGGGCAGCGGGGUAGCUCCCCGCGGUGCGAGCGGCUCUCCGGGCCGUGCUUCCCGCUCCCGGUGCCUUCAGCACCCCCACCUCCGCCCUCGGCCCCGCGGGAACCCCUUUGCUUUGGGGCCAGCCCACCCCGGCUGCUGGCCCAACGCCCCCUUCCCGCCCCCCGCCGCCUGUCCUCUGUUCCUCGUGUCGGGGCCGUUUCGCUUGAUCCAACACCUACCCCCCCCCCCACCACACACACACCCCAGCUGUUUCCUCCAGUUCCUCUGAGCCCUUGAGGUUUUCCUUGGAUGUAUGCCCACCGCUAGCUUGUUUGCUGUUUGUCGAGUGAUAUCUGAAACGACGCUGAAUCCUCGGAGUCGGUGUCAGGGAAGUAGACGCUGUCGUCCUGUUUCCCAGCUGGGGAGUAUCCAUCCAGUGGACAGUGUGGAGAGAACACUGAUUAAGGAAUCAAGCGCCUGUCCUUGCACUUGCCCAAGUGUUCUGUAACUCUGUUCCCUCCCCCAUGCUGUGUGCGCCCUGAAGCAGAGACCAUCGCCUGCACACCUCACUAUCCCCAGCAUCUCCCACAGCGUUUGAAACAGAGCAGGCCCUUAUACAAUGUUUGUGGGACUAAACGGAGCCCAAAGAUCUGGAUUAGGGACCAGGCCCAUGUGACUGUUACAUAUUCUCUGUUCAUCCGAAAAAUAAAGGAGUUGGCCUCAUUGA